AGAGUUUGAUCCUGGCUCAGGACGAACGCUGGCGGCGCGCCUAACACAUGCAAGUCGAACGAGCGAGAGAGAGCUUGCUUUCUCAAGCGAGUGGCGAACGGGUGAGUAACGCGUGAGGAACCUGCCUCAAAGAGGGGGACAACAGUUGGAAACGACUGCUAAUACCGCAUAAGCCCACGGCUCGGCAUCGAGCAGAGGGAAAAGGAGCAAUCCGCUUUGAGAUGGCCUCGCGUCCGAUUAGCUAGUUGGUGAGGUAACGGCCCACCAAGGCGACGAUCGGUAGCCGGACUGAGAGGUUGAACGGCCACAUAGGGACUGAGACACGGCCCAGACUCCUACGGGAGGCAGCAGUGGGGAAUAUUGCACAAUGGGGGAAACCCUGAUGCAGCGACGCCGCGUGGAGGAAGAAGGUCUUCGGAUUGUAAACUCCUGUUGUUGAGGAAGAUAAUGACGGUACUCAACAAGGAAGUGACGGCUAACUACGUGCCAGCAGCCGCGGUAAAACGUAGGUCACAAGCGUUGUCCGGAAUUACUGAGUGUAAAGGGAGCGCAGGCGGGAAGACAAGUUGGAAGUGAAAUCCAUGGGUCAACCCAUGAACUGCUUUCAAAACUGUUUUUCUUGAGUAGUGCAGAGGUAGGCGGAAUUCCCGGUGUAGCGGUGGAAUGCGUAGAUAUCGGGAGGAACACCAGUGGCGAAGGCGGCCUACUGGGCACCAACUGACGCUGAGGCUCGAAAGUGUGGGUAGCAAACAGGAUUAGAUACCCUGGUAGUCCACACUGUAAACGAUGAUCACUAGGUGUUGGAGGAUUGACCCCUUCAGUGCCGCAGUUAACACAAUAAGUAAUCCACCUGGGGAGUACGACCGCAAGGUUGAAACUCAAAGGAAUUGACGGGGGCCCGCACAAGCAGUGGAGUAUGUGGUUUAAUUCGACGCAACGCGAAGAACCUUACCAAGUCUUGACAUCCUGCGACGCACAUAGAAAUAUGUGUUUCCUUCGGGACGCAGAGACAGGUGGUGCAUGGUUGUCGUCAGCUCGUGUCGUGAGAUGUUGGGUUAAGUCCCGCAACGAGCGCAACCCUUAUGGUCAGUUACUACGCAAGAGGACUCUGGCCAGACUGCCGUUGACAAAACGGAGGAAGGUGGGGAUGACGUCAAAUCAUCAUGCCCUUUAUGACUUGGGCUACACACGUACUACAAUGGCGUUAAACAAAGAGAAGCAAGACCGCGAGGUGGAGCAAAACUCAGAAACAACGUCCCAGUUCGGACUGCAGGCUGCAACUCGCCUGCACGAAGUCGGAAUUGCUAGUAAUCGCAGAUCAGCAUGCUGCGGUGAAUACGUUCCCGGGCCUUGUACACACCGCCCGUC
rnacentral:rRNA from 1 species